rnacentral:rRNA from 1 species
UACGUAGGUCGCAAGCGUUGUCCGGAUUUACUGGGCGUAAAGAGCGCGCAGGCGGCUGGUCAAGUCCGAUGGUGAAAUCUCCCGGCUCAACUGGGAAACUGCAUCGGAAACUGAUCGGCUUGAAGAUGGGAGAGGGUAGUGGAAUUCCAGGUGUAGCGGUGAAAUGCGUAGAUAUCUGGAGGAACACCGGUGGCGAAGGCGGCAUCCUGGACCGGCAUUGACGCUGAGGCGCGAAAGCCAGGGGAGCAAACGGG